AUUGAACGCUAGCGGCAUGCCUAACACAUGCAAGUCGAACGAGUGGCGGACGGGUGAGUAAUAUCUGGGAAACUGCCUGAUGGAGGGGGAUCACUACUUGAAACCGUGGCUAAUACCGCAUACUAUCGGAUCUGCCCAUAUUGGAUUAGCUAGUUGGUGGGGUAACGGCUCACCUAGGCGACGCUCCCUAGCUGGUUUGAGAGGAUGACCAGCCACACGGGAACUUAGACACGGCCCAGACUCCUAUGGGAGGCAGCAGUGGGGAAUAUGGGACAAUGGGCGCAAGCCUGAUGCAGCCAUGCCGGGUGUAUGAAGAAGGCCUUCGGGUUGUAAAGUACUUUUAGCGGGGAGGCGUUACCUGCAGAAGAAGCACCGGCUAACUCCGUGCCAGCAGCCGCGGUAAUUC
rnacentral:rRNA from 1 species